GGUCCGUUCGCACCAUCGCAUGGCAGAGGCGGGGGAACCAAUUUUCGGGUCUCGAUCCAGAGAUCCUCGGGGUUAAGUCGCUGUUCACGCAGCGGCCGGGUGACUCCCAUCCGAAUCCGACAGCUCACCUCGCAGGCGUUGGGAGAGGUAAU
rnacentral:sRNA from 1 species